rnacentral:rRNA from 1 species
CCUUCGGGAGCUUGCACAGGUGCUGCAUGGCUGUCGUCAGCUCGUGUCGUGAGAUGUUCGGUUAAGUCCGUUACGAGCGCAACCCUCGCUGUGUGUUACAAGUGUCACACGGUACUGCCGGUCUUAAGCCGGAGGAAGGUGGGGAUGACGUCAAGUCAGCAUGGCCUUUAUGUCCUGGGCUACACACACGCUACAAUGGCCAACACAAUAGGUUGCUAAGCCGCGAGGUGGAGCCAAUCCUCAAAGUUGGUCUCAGUUCAGAUUGCAGGCUGCAACCCGCCUGCAUGAAGAUGGAGUUGCUAGUAACCGCAGGUCAGCUAUACUGCGGUGAAUACGUUCCCGGGCUU